UGGGGAAUAUUGGACAAUGGGGGCAACCCUGAUCCAGCAAUGCCGCGUGAGUGAUGAAGGCCUUAGGGUUGUAAAGCUCUUUUGCCAGGGAAGCUGUACCUGGAGAAUAAGCCCCGGCUAACUUCGUGCCAGCAGCCGCGGUAAUACGAAGGGGGCUAGCGUUGUUCGGAAUUACUGGGCGUAAAGGGCGCGUAGGCGGCCGAUUAAGUUAGGUGUGAAAGUCCUGGGCUCAACCUGGGGGCUGCACUUAAUACUGAUUGGCUUGAAUUCGGGAGAGGAUAGCGGAAUUCCCAGUGUAGAGGUGAAAUUCGUAGAUAUUGGGAAGAACACCGGUGGCGAAGGCGGCUAUCUGGACCGACAUUGACGCUGAGGCGCGAAAGCGUGGGGAGCAAACAGGAUUAGAUACCCCAGUAGU
rnacentral:rRNA from 1 species